rnacentral:tRNA from 1 species
CGGGGAGUGGUUCAUCGGUAGAAUACUCGGUUCGGAACCGAGUGGUAGAGGGUUCAACUCCCUCCUCCCCGA